CCUCUUCACAUUGCCAACCUCUACUGGGACCCCUGGCUUCCAUUAUUAGAAUAAUUUACACUUAAGCAACCUAAUUAGCAUUACCCUAUGUAAUGUUAUUGUGCAUUUUAUUUUAGCCUUCUCACACCAACAUAUAUGUUUUUAUAUAAUAUACUGUUAUAUGUUAUUUAUUGUUUAUUGUCUUUUGUUCUUGUUUUGUGCCUAAAAUGCAUAUACAUUCUUUAA
rnacentral:lncRNA from 1 species